rnacentral:rRNA from 1 species
AGAUUGAACGCUGGCGGCAUGCCUUACACAUGCAAGUCGAACGGCAGCACGGGGGCAACCCUGGUGGCGAGUGGCGAACGGGUGAGUAAUAUAUCGGAACGUGCCCUGGAGUGGGGGAUAACUAGUCGAAAGAUUAGCUAAUACCGCAUACGAUCUACGGAUGAAAGUGGGGGAUCGCAAGACCUCAUGCU